rnacentral:rRNA from 1 species
AGAGAAUAGAUACCCCGGUAGUCCACGCCCUAAACGAUGUCAACUGGCUUUACGGUGUAUCGACCCUCUGUGAGGCGAAAGCUAAACGCGUUAAGUUGACCGCCUGGGUAGUACGACCGCAAGGUUAAAACUCAAAGGAAUAGACGGGGGCUUGCACAAGCGGUGGAGCGUGUGGCUUAAUUCGUCGCUAAGCGAAGAACCUUACCAGGGCUAGAAAUCCUACUGCACGAUCUGGGAAACCAGAUAAGCCUUUGAGGGUGUAGGACAGGUGAUACAUGGCUGUCGUCAGUUCGUGGUUUGAAUCGUUCCCUUCAGUGGGGUAACGAACGCAACCCUCGUUGCCAGUUACAAGUGUCUGGCGAGACUGCCCCCUCACGGGGGAGGAAGGUGAGGAUGACGCCAAGUCAGCAUGUCCCCUCUGAUGUCCUGGGCUGCACACGCGCUACAAUCGCCUUUACAAAGGGACGCAAUGCGGUAACGCGGAGCAAAUCCUAAAAACGAAGGCGCCAGUUCGGAUUGGGGUCGUGCAACCCGA